CACGUAGGGCGCAAGCGUUGUCCGGAAUGACUGGGCGUAAAGGGCGCGUAGGCGGUUUGGACAGUCAGAUGUGAAAUUCCUGGGCUCAACCUGGGGGCUGCAUUUGAUACGUUCGGACUAGAGUGGGGAAGAGGGUCGUGGAAUUCCCAGUGUAGAGGUGAAAUUCGUAGAUAUUGGGAAGAACACCGGUGGCGAAGGCGGCGACCUGGUCCUUGACUGACGCUGAGGCGCGAAAGCGUGGGGAGCGAACAGG
rnacentral:rRNA from 1 species